AAGAUAGGAAACUAGCAUUCAUUCUGUACUAUGAUUCAGUUUAGAUCAUAUACAUUACAUCCAACUUGUAAUUUAUCGAUUUCUUACAUUCAUUACAUCAUUUCAUCAUAUCUUUCUUACAUAACAUUUACCUCAAAAUACACAUUACAUUCUUUUCUUUACAGCAUUUAUUAUCAUGUACCAAAAGAUGAUCAUAGGGUACUU
rnacentral:lncRNA from 1 species